AUUUAAUUAUUCAAUUAUUUGAAACCGUCUUACAAGCCUCUGGCGAAAUCCUUCAACCAGUUUCAUUCCAUAUAUCUAUAUUUGUAUUUCAAUACGCCGCUCCCUACUUUCUUGCGCAGAGUCUAUGCUCUUUAUAAUUUAUGAGGAUCGCAAUAUGUAUUAUUUAUUUAAAUCGUAAUCGAUUCACGCACUCUAUACCAGUCCAAGUAUCUCGCCAGCAUACAUGGUAUAACUGUUAAACUUAUCUAAAUUACUAAUAUAUUUGUAAAAUUGCAGUCUGCCGUAUUACUUAUCCUUAAGUUAUAAUAUUUCAGUUAAGAUAUUAAUUGUGUCAUUAACUCAGAUAGGGGCUCCUAUAGCUCUUAUAUAUCUGUAAGCAAAUGUGUAAUCAUACGUAUUCCAGUUUAAUUGAUUUUAUUAAUUAAUUAAUUAUCUAGUUUAAUUAUUCGAUCAUUCAAUGCUCCACUGGCGAAAUCCUUUGACUAGUUUCAUUCCCUAUAUCUAUGAUCUAUAUUUAUAUUUCAGUAGACUACUGUAUCCGACGGGUUAUUGCUCCGCUGCGCUUUGCUCCGUUGCGAUGUAUUGAGCUUGAGAAGAAAAGUCAAUUUCUGCAUUUAUAAUUCUUUCUACUCAUACAUAUCGUGGACCGCAAAGUCGUCGUCCUCUCGUCUUCUUUAUCCUUCGUGCCACCAUACUAAUGUCCUAAACAUCCAUCAUAGGCUCGUUCUCGCAUGUCAUUUUAUUCUAUCUGCAGUAUCGCUUCCAACCAUUUCCAGUCACGGUUGUAGACUUCGCAACGGAUUAUUAUUCCAUCAUAUAUAUUUCCGGGGACGUGAGGACAGGAAGACACCCCGGCCCAUCGUUUCAAUGGCCCGUAACUGCGUCCAGGAUUCCAUCCAUCAUCUAAACAAAAUCAUCAGACAGCGUAUUUCCAUCAAGUGCCAAACAUAAUCCUAAGAUAGAGAAGAGAAAUGCCCCUUUUAUACUGAUGAGCAGUGUUUAUCCAGAUUGCGUGCCAUUGACCGUGAACAUGAAGAGAAUAGCUCAUAGCCUCUACUCUAUUAUCUCAUUUAUAUAGAUUCUAGCCCUAUAUAAACUCACCACGACCAAGCAUUCAUAAACAAAGGGUUAAACUACGUGGGAUUAUCUUAUUAUGAUCUCUAUAUACAAUUUAUUCCGUAUAUAUGCUCAUCAUGACCAAGCAUUCAUAAACAAGGAAUUCCUUAAGAGACUACGUGGGAUUAUCUAUUAUGAUCUCUAUAUAUAAUAAUGGGAAUCGAAUCGAAGUUAUACCCAAUGUUCAAAGAAACUUUAUAAUUACCUACUAUUUAACUUAUUUCCUUAUUGAUAAAUUCUGUUUCCUUAAGAUUCA